CUUAUGAUGGCGACCGGCGCACGGGUGCGUAACGCGUAUGCAACCUACCUUUUACAGGGGCAUAACACUGAGAAAUUGGUACUAAUUCCCCAUAAUAUCUGAGACGGCAUCGUUUUGGGUUGAAAACUCCGGUGGUAAAAGAUGGGCAUGCGUUGUAUUAGCUAGUUGGUGAGGUAACGGCUCACCUAAGGCGACGAUACAUAGGGGGACUGAGAGGUUAACCCCCCACAUUGGUACUGAGACACGGACCAAACUCCUACGGAAGGCAGCAG
rnacentral:rRNA from 1 species